UUGUUUUCCCACGCGGUGGCGGUCGAAUACUGAGGACACCGGCUGGGCGGCAGACUUUCUGUCUGGAGUGGCCGCGGCCACCGCCGGCCACCGCGUAGCUCCGCCCCUGCCCACCACCUUGUCUCAGGCCCUAAAGCCAUCUGAAGAAAAGCGGCGCCUAAGCGUGAAGCUGCCGCCGCCACGCUUCAGUGCAGGCGUGACAACUGCUCCAUGCGCACAGUGACGACCGUGAAGAGUUCCCGGUGAGAGCUACUGUGAUGAGAUCUACUACCUCAGUCUUGUGCCAGUGACUUUGUGAAAGAAUGGCAGCUAUGCAGGUCUGCUGUCUCCCCGCCUGCCAUACAACGAAGUGUCUGCAAAGCUUCAUAGGAGCUCAUGCGAUCAACAUGGACUAUUUUCAUAUUACUGAAGAUUUUUUUUUCUGGGAAAGGAUCCACUUCAGCAACUUUUCGAAGGAAAAUAACUGGAAUAUGACUUCAUGGCCAAGUCAAUGACCUGAUCUUAACCCAAUCGAGCAUGAAGCAUGAUUUUCACUUACAGAAGACCAAAGGGAAGGCAGCAACCCUCACAAAGUAGCAACAGCAAGUGAAGAAAAAACUCUGAACUUCGAAUCCUUUGUCUGCAAAGGAUUUUCAUCCGAGUCAUGAAAAUGAUUGUUACAAUUAAGAAAAAUCCAAAUUUAAGAAGGGGGGCCGGGCCGCAGGCAGGGUGUGUUCCAACUACGGGGGGAUAUUUCCCUUUGUCCAAAUACUAUUGAGCCCCGUUAAACGAAGGCUGUAAAUGGUUGUAAUUCUCAAAUGUAAAUGUAUUUUGGUAUUCCGUUGCAUAUUCCAUACUUCCGAACUUAACUGUACAUUGGGGAUUGCCGUAUUCUUUGCAUAGGUAGGACAAAUGCGUUUAUAUUGACUGGCCUCAUGUUGGCUUUUCACAAACUCAGACUGAGAGGAUUAUCAUCAGCAUGUCUGGUCCGCUGAGGUCAUGACAGACACAGUACACACUUAUCCACAUCCAAUACUAUCUUUGAUCGUCGUGUCUGUGUAGACGUUUGAUCCGUGUGUCAGCGUCAGCAGCAACGCGAUCGCAACUAAGAGGCGAUGAGCUCUUCGUCGCGCUCGUUGACUUGUGGAGAGCAACGCGAGGUCAUCUGCAUAAGCGAGCCUCCAUCUCUGGAACCCGAUUUGGCUCACAUCACUUCCGACCCCACAAACGAGCCCACACAAGCCUUCUUGUUCGCAUACUCUGUGUUCACAGACACGCGGUAUAGAAGUGCUGCCAAAUGCACCUUCGAGCCAAGAGCACAACAGUGGCUGCAACUGCAGCUGGUAGAGAUGGAGAGAGUGCCCUGUGUCCACUUGUGUUGGACGGCGACGGGAAGAUGGCUUUUAUUAUCUAUUCUGUAAUACACAAAUAAAGUUAGGCGCUAAUGUUCUUGACAUACAGUCAUUUUAUAAAUAUGGAAAUUCAGACAAAUUCUUCUGGAAGUGAAUUUCUAUAGGUUGGCAGCUCUGCAGUCAUAGCAAUAAAUACAAUUUUACUAGAAAUUGGCAUAGUUUUAGAAUUAAUCA